rnacentral:lncRNA from 1 species
GAAACCCUGGCCUCACCCUUCCCUUCUGCUACCUACAAAAGCCCCCUGACAUAGCACUCUUGUCAUACUGAGACUAAGGUAGAAAAAGACACUUCCAAAGGGUGUCAAUGACAAGAGAGAAAUAGACAUAGAGUGGUCACUUCAUUUACCAACCCUGGAACCGCAGACCUCUGGGCUUCCUGAUGGAGUCUCACCCAGCCUGGAGUACAGUAGUAUGAUCUGCAACCUUUGCCUCCCAGGUUCAGGCGAUUCUCCUGUCUCAGCCUCCGGAGUAUCUGGGAUUACAGGCACGUGCCACCACGCCCGGCUAAUUUUUUGUAUUUUUAGUAGAGAUGGGUUUCACCGUGUUAGCCAGGAUGGUCUCGAACUCCUGACCUCGUGAUCUACCCGCCUUGGCCUCCCAAAGUGCUGGGAUUACAGGCAUGAGCUACCGUGCUCGGCCAUGCCUGGCUAAUUUAUAUAUACAUAUAUAUAUAUAUAUAUAUUUUUUUUUUUUUUUUUUUUUUUUUGAGACAGAGUCUUGCUCUGUCACCCAGGUUGGAGUGCAGUGGCAUGAUCUCGGCUCACUGCAAGCUCGCCUCCCAGGUUCACGCCAUUCUCCUGCCUCAGCCUCCUGAGUAGCUGGGACUACAGGCGCCCGCAUGACGCCCGGCUAAUUUUUUGUAUUUUUAGUAGAGACGGGGUUUCACUGUGUUAGCCAGGAUGGUCUCGAUCUCCUGACCUCGUGAUCUGCCCACCUCAGCCUCCGAAAGUGCUGGGAUUACAGACAUGAGCCACCGCACCCAGCCUUAUAUAUAUAUUUUUUAUUAGUGAAGAGGUUUCGCCAUAUUGGCCAGACUGGUCUCGAACUCCUGACCUCAGGUGAUCCACCCACCUCGGCCUCCCAAAGUGCUGGGAUUACAGGUGGGAGCCACCGCACCCUGCCUAAAAUGCAAAAGAUUUUGAAUGGCGAGAAUGGCGACAUGAUGCCACAAGUGGAAAAUUCCACACCUGGCUGCAUGUAAUGGGUUGAAGUCAAAAUGCAGUCAAAAACUUUGUUUCAUGUACAAAAUUAUUAAAAACAUUGUAUAAAAUCACCUUCAGACUAUGUGUAUGUGAAACCUAAGUGAAUUUAAUGGCUAGACUUCAGUUGCAUUCCCAAGAUCUCUCAUUAUGUAUAUGCAAAUAUUUUGAAAUUCAACCUGGUUCCACACAUUUUAGAUAAGGGAUACUCAAGCUGUAAUUAACAAAUAAACUUUUCACAGUCCAAGCAGCCAAAGGCCCACUGUCCCUGUUCCCUCAGCUCACGCCCCCUUCCGUGCACAGCCUUAUCUAAUCCUUCUACCCUUCGUUGUGUUUGGACUUCAGACUCUUUUUUUUUAAGACAAAGUCCCGCUCUGUUGCCCAGGCUGGAGUGCAGUGGCGCGAUCUCAGCUCAACCUCUGCCCCCAGGUUCAAGCAAUUCUCAUGUCUCAGCCUCCCGAGUAGCUGGGAUUACA